rnacentral:rRNA from 1 species
CCUACGGGAGGCAGCAGUGGGGAAUAUUGGGCAAUGGAGGAAACUCUGACCCAGCGACGCCGCGUGCGGGAUGAAGGCCUUCGGGUUGUAAACCGCUUUCAGUAGGGAAGAAGCGAAAGUGACGGUACCUACAGAAGAAGCACCGGCUAACUAUGUGCCAGCAGCCGCGGUAAUACAUAGGGUGCAAGCGUUGUCCGGAAUUAUUGGGCGUAAAGAGCUCGUAGGUGGUUCGUCACGUCGGAUGUGAAAAUCUGGGGCUCAACCCCAGACCUGCAUUCGAUACGGGCGAUCUAGAGUGUGGUAGGGGAGACUGGAAUUCCUGGUGUAGCGGUGGAAUGCGCAGAUAUCAGGAGGAACACCAAUGGCGAAGGCAGGUCUCUGGGCCAUUACUGACACUGAGGAGCGAAAGCGUGGGGAGCGAACAGGAUUAGGAUACCCUGGUAGUCCACGCCGUAAACGGUGGGCACUAGUUGUGGGAACCUUCCACGGUUUCUGCGACGCAGCUAACGCAUUAAGUGCCCCGCCUGGGGAGUACGAUCGCAAGNUUAAACUUAAAUGAAAUUGAGGCUGAGAGUGCGAGCGACACGAGGAGAGG